UUAACGAGAUUAUAGAAGAGAGAACGCACAAGUGGGACUCGAUCAAAUAGGAUCUCGAAAUCCAGAUUUGUAGUCUUCAGGCAAAGUUACAGGCUGAAAAAGCUGAAAGUUCUGCGGCUAUUGAUCCGAAAGUUCUUGUAAAACUUGAGAAUUUAGAGAAAGAAAACUCGACCCUUAAGUUUGACCUUAACGUGCAAUCAGAAGAGUUGGAAAUCAGGACGACUGCCUUCUGCUUCAAUCAUUUUCCCUCAAUCGAUUGCGUCUCCCAAACCCUAACAAUUCAAAUCCACCGUUUCAUCUAUGCAUCUUCCGUCGUUUCAUCUCUUUCCACUUGAAAGAACCCUAGAUAUGUUUACUCUACGAUUGAGAAAGAAACCUGAAUUUGCUUCAAAUCUUGGAAUCUUCAACUUUGGGAAUAUAAAUCAACUAUUGGCCAGACCCAGUUCACCAAGAAGUAUUCUGAUGAUACGUUUGAGCACAGCCAUGUUGUUCUUCCUCAUCAAGUUGUGAAGGAAUUUCUAAAGAAUCGGCUUCUGUCCCAGGUCAAAGAAACUCGAUUUUUGUUAUGGGUAUACAAGGAACUGAAAUAGGAAAAUUUUAAAGCAGUUCGACUCAGGUUUCUUCUUUUUUUUUUUUUCCAUUCUACCGUUUUUUUCAAUUCAUUAGUUUUCAAUUUCAAUAACGUUAUUUUAAGCCACGUGAUUGUUGAAAAUUCAAACGGGGGUUGAAUAUAUUUCUAAUCGUCUUCAAGUUGUUCACAAUUCUGUGUACAAGUUUUCCAAUCCAGGUAUGUUUGAAUCACUCCAUUCAUUGCUUUACUUUUAAUAAGGGUUCUUACUUUAAUCACUGUUUUCAUUUGAAUUAGGCCGCUUAUUUCACGAUUUCUGAUGUUUAUGAGUUUCAAUUGAGUUUAAUUGAUGUUUUUGUAAAUUAUCAUUUAGGUCUUAUUGAAUUGAUGAAUUUCUUCUGCUACGUUGAUUCCGGAUUUAGUUGUGUAAUCGAUUUUAGUUCAUGAUUUCUGGUGUUGUGAAUCUGGUUUGCUGAUAUUGUUGCUUUCAGUUCAUUGAUUCAUCGAAUAAUAUUCUCAUUCAUCCCUAAAUCGCAUCACAUCUCUGUCGUCAAUACCUCACGAAUCAAGAUUUCAGGUAUCAUGAAUUUUCGAACGCAUGGUGAUGCUCGGCAAUAACACUAGCAAAUUUGUUCAUGGCGAUAGGUACAAUUAAGUUUUUGUUCACUGAUUGUAUCAGAUUGUAUCAGAUUUAAACCCUAAAUCUUAAUCUUCUCCCGUACUCUUCUCUUGAUCUUUUCUCUUUUAUUUGCAAACCAUACCCACCAAGUUGAUCAUUGAUGAUCCGUCGCUGAACCACCAUAAAACUCUUCCUUUAGUGUUGGCCAGCCGCGAAAACCAUCGGGUGUUCAUCGAUCUACACACGUCGCAUCAUCGAUCAGAGACUCAUCAUCGAUCGGAUAUGGAUGCAGGUUUAGGUCUCUCAAAGACAUAAAAGAUGAGAUCUUGAAGCGCACAUUGAUUUCAGAGACCUGGCUUUUCGGUUUGAAGAAUGGAAUGGAAAUGGAACUACAAAGAAUGGUUUAGGUGUGAUUGAACGCUCAAUGGGUCACGAAGGAGAUGUCUAUUUUGAUUUUGAUAAUUCUAGCUGUUGCCCAUAUGUUGAUGAAAAAAUAUACAUCUUGUGUAAGUUUAUACAAAAGAAGUCCCCCAAAAGUCCUUGUAUGAACAUGAUUUUGGUCCCUUCAAGUGUAUGGUUUCAUUGACAACAAUCUUUCAUUGUUUGAUUUUCC